UUGACUUAUUAAGUACAAAGACUCAGAGAGGCCAUAAAAGUUCAAGAGUUAGAUACCUCCGGCGGGCGCCCGAGUAGGGCCGGGGACCCCGGAGACCGGGGCCAACCCGCCGAAGCAACGUUGAAGGUAAGUUCACAAUGGUUUGGGAGUUUUGCAACUCUUUAAUGAUCCCUCCGCUGGUUCACCAACGGAGA
rnacentral:misc_RNA from 1 species